rnacentral:lncRNA from 1 species
ACAUGUCAACUUUAUCCUGCAGGUGGCAGGGGAGGAUAUGGUUGCCAGUCUCUCUGGGGACAUAUUCUUAUAGCUCUUGGCAAGAAAAGAAAAAGGAACCCAAGAAGAACUAUGAUUGGACUGACUUACAGGACACAGCUGUCCUGACCCAGCACUGUGGCCAGCUGCAUGAGAUAAGCACAGUCUACAUUCCCAGUUUUGCCUUUCCCUUCAGUGCUGGGAAAAGAGAGAAGAGAAAAGAAAACAGGAAAAGGAGACAAGAGCUCACAUUCAUGGUCCUAGAAUGCUGGAACUUGGAAGACUCCACAUUAAGCCUUCUUUGCAGUAACUGGUGAGGAAACACUGAGACCCAAAGAGCCAAGUCAUCCUUGGGGUCAUAGACUGGGAGAACUAUGCCCUUGGUGAAACUAUUUUCAAAACUACUAAUGAGCCUCUCCAUGUGAGUACAAUGAACUCUUAUCUUGUAUUUUAUUGUCUCAAUGUGCCAUCAACAAUUAGUUAUCAAUCAAGUAUAUGCUAUGUCUAACAUUUUUUCCUGUUUAUAAAUGUGAAAAAUGAAAUUUUUACUUUCUGAAAACUUAAAACUCCAUAGCCUAUGAAAGCUUACACUUUUUUUCUGAAGUAUAUUAAAAGAAGCAUAGUACAGUGCUCACUUCGGCAGCACAUAGACUAAAAUUGGAACAAUAUAGAGAAGAUUAGCAUGGCCCCUGUACAAGGAUGACACACAGAUUUGUGAAGCAUUCUAUAUUUAAGAACUAAAUAAAAAAUAAAAGAAGCAUAGUACA